rnacentral:rRNA from 1 species
UACGGGGGGGGCAAGCGUUGUUCGGAAUUACUGGGCGUAAAGGGCUCGUAGGUGGCCAACUAAGUCAGACGUGAAAUCCCUCGGCUUAACCGGGGAACUGCGUCUGAUACUGGAUGGCUUGAGGUUGGGAGAGGGAUGCGGAAUUCCAGGUGUAGCGGUGAAAUGCGUAGAUAUCGCUUGGAACGCCGAAGGUGAAAACAGGCUGCUGGGGUUGCGACCGACGCUGAGACACGAAAGCCAGGGAGCAAACGGG